GUGGGGAAUAUUGGACAAUGGGCGCAAGCCUGAUCCAGCCAUGCCGCGUGAAUGAUGAAGGCCUUAGGGUUGUAAAGUUCUUUCACCGAUGAAGAUAAUGACGGUAGUCGGAGAAGAAGCCCCGGCUAACUUCGUGCCAGCAGCCGCGGUAAUACGAAGGGGGCUAGCGUUGUUCGGAAUUACUGGGCGUAAAGCGCACGUAGGCGGAUAUUUAAGUCAGGGGUGAAAUCCCAGAGCUCAACUCUGGAACUGCCUUUGAUACUGGGUAUCUUGAGUAUGGAAGAGGUAAGUGGAAUUGCGAGUGUAGAGGUGAAAUUCGUAGAUAUUCGCAGGAACACCAGUGGCGAAGGCGGCUUACUGGUCCAUAACUGACGCUGAGGUGCGAAAGCGUGGGGAGCAAACAGG
rnacentral:rRNA from 1 species